CCCGGGACUCGAACUGGGAGGAAGGUGGGGACGACGUCAAGUCAGCAUGGCCUUUAUAUCCUGGGCUACACACACGCUACAAUGGUCGGUACAAUGGGUCGCCAAGCCGCGAGGCGGAGCCAAUCCUCCAAAACCGGCCUCAGUUCAGAUUGUAGGCUGCAACUCGCCUGCAUGAAGUUGGAGUUGCUAGUAACCGCGCGUCAGCUAUAGUGCGGUGAAUACGUUCCCGGGGCUU
rnacentral:rRNA from 1 species